rnacentral:pre_miRNA from 1 species
AGUGGGAUAGCUGGGUCAAAUGGUGGUUCCAUUACAAGUUUUUAAAGGAAUCUCCAUACUGAUUUACAGAUUGGUUUCUCCAAUUUGCAGUCCCACCAGCAAU